AGUGAACGCUGGCGGUAGGCCUAACACAUGCAAGUCGAACGGCAGCACAGUAAGAGCUUGCUCUUACGGGUGGCGAGUGGCGGACGGGUGAGGAAUACAUCGGAAUCUACUUUUUCGUGGGGGAUAACGUAGGGAAACUUACGCUAAUACCGCAUACGACCUACGGGUGAAAGCAGGGGAUCUUCGGACCUUGCGCGAUUGAAUGAGCCGAUGUCGGAUUAGCUAGUUGGCGGGGUAAAGGCCCACCAAGGCGACGAUCCGUAGCUGGUCUGAGAGGAUGAUCAGCCCCCCUGGAACUGAGACACGGUCCAGACUCCUACGGGAGGCAGCAGUGGGGAAUAUUGGACAAUGGGCGCAAGCCUGAGCCAGCCAUACCGCGUGGGUGAAGAAGGCCUUCGGGUUGUAAAGCCCUUUUGUUGGGAAAGAAAAGCAGCAGGUUAAUACCCCGCUGUUCUGACGGUACCCAAAGAAUAAGCACCGGCUAACUUCGUGC
rnacentral:rRNA from 1 species